rnacentral:rRNA from 1 species
GUGGCGAACGGGUGAGUAACACGUGAGUAACCUGCCCUUGACUCUGGGAUAAGCCUGGGAAACUGGGUCUAAUACCGGAUAUGACCAUCUGACGCAUGUCAUGGUGGUGGAAAGCUUUUGUGGUUUUGGAUGGACUCGCGGCCUAUCAGCUUGUUGGUGGGGUAAUGGCCUACCAAGGCGACGACGGGUAGCCGGCCUGAGAGGGUGACCGGCCACACUGGGACUGAGACACGGCCCAGACUCCUACGGGAGGCAGCAGUGGGGAAUAUUGCACAAUGGGCGGAAGCCUGAUGCAGCGACGCCGCGUGAGGGAUGACGGCCUUCGGGUUGUAAACCUCUUUCAGUAGGGAAGAAGCGAAAGUGACGGUACCUGCAGAAGAAGCGCCGGCUAACUACGUGCCAGCAGCCGCGGUAAUACGUAGGGCGCAAGCGUUAUCCGGAAUUAUUGGGCGUAAAGAGCUCGUAGGCGGUUUGUCGCGUCUGCUGUGAAAGACCGGGGCUCAACUCCGGUUCUGCAGUGGGUACGGGCAGACUAGAGUGCAGUAGGGGAGACUGGAAUUCCUGGUGUAGCGGUGAAAUGCGCAGAUAUCAGGAGGAACACCGAUGGCGAAGGCAGGUCUCUGGGCUGUAACUGACGCUGAGGAGCGAAAGCAUGGGGAGCGAACAGGAUUAGAUACCCUGGUAGUCCAUGCCGUAAACGUUGGGCACUAGGUGUGGGGGACAUUCCACGUUUUCCGCGCCGUAGCUAACGCAUUAAGUGCCCCGCCUGGGGAGUACGGCCGCAAGGCUAAAACUCAAAGGAAUUGACGGGGGCCCGCACAAGCGGCGGAGCAUGCGGAUUAAUUCGAUGCAACGCGAAGAACCUUACCAAGGCUUGACAUGAACCGGAAAGACCUGGAAACAGGUGCCCCGCUUGCGGUCGGUUUACAGGUGGUGCAUGGUUGUCGUCAGCUCGUGUCGUGAGAUGUUGGGUUAAGUCCCGCAACGAGCGCAACCCUCGUUCUAUGUUGCCAGCGCGUUAUGGCGGGGACUCAUAGGAGACUGCCGGGGUCAACUCGGAGGAAGGUGGGGACGACGUCAAAUCAUCAUGCCCCUUAUGUCUUGGGCUUCACGCAUGCUACAAUGGCCGGUACAAAGGGUUGCGAUACUGUGAGGUGGAGCUAAUCCCAAAAAGCCGGUCUCAGUUCGGAUUGGGGUCUGCAACUCGACCCCAUGAAGUCGGAGUCGCUAGUAAUCGCAGAUCAGCAACGCUGCGGUGAAUACGUUCCCGGGCCUUGUACACACCGCCCGUCAAGUCACGAAAGUUGGUAACACC